CAUAGGUGUUAGCAGGAUCAAGGCCAAAGACUGGAGAACUAGAAAGUGCAAACUCCUUCAGUUAAUCGAUGCCUUUUGGAAAUCAAGACUAUUAGUUACUCAAGAAGAUUAACUACAAACUACAGCGUGGAUGGCAAGUAUAUAAAACAGGAGAUGGGCAAGGAAGUGACACCAUGCUGCCCUAAAGCCAAAUCCUCUGCCCAGAGUGCAUCCCAAGUAAAUCAGGAUGGUGCUGAGAUCAGCCAUCCUCCACAGGAAAAUAUGCAUGCUGAAAUUCAAAUGUAUAAGAAGUCUUCAUGCAACAACCUAGGAAAUAUGUACUGGUGAAGUAAGGAAGGCAAACAGAGAGGCGAAAAUGUUCACAUGCAACACAAAAUAGUUGGUCCCCAACCAAAAUUAAAAAUUAUCCUUUAUUUUCCAAAAUAUUAACAAUAGUAAUAAAUUUGAGUCACCUUAAAGACAAAAGGAAAAUAGAUCUUGUCUUACUGUCCUGAAGAUAUCAGCAUCUAUAAGAGAAUAAGUAAAUGGGAUUUCCUCAUAUGCAUGACUUGAAAGAGCUAUACACCAGAUUAAAGAAAAUAUGGUCAAUGACCAAGAUACUCUUACCCAUUGAUUAGAAUAUACUAUGAACAAACUGUACUAUUAAAAGGAUAUUUAAUAGAGUGAGGGCUUAAGGGUUCAUUGACCUUCUGCUGGU